UACGUAGGUCCCGAGCGUUGUCCGGAUUUAUUGGGCGUAAAGCGAGCGCAGGUGGUUUAUUAAGUCUGGUGUAAAAGGCAGUGGCUCAACCAUUGUAUGCAUUGGAAACUGGUAGACUUGAGUGCAGGAGAGGAGAGUGGAACUCCAUGUGUAGCGGUGAAAUGCGUAGAUAUAUGGAGGAACGCCGGUGGCGAAAGCGGCUCUCUGGCCUGUAACUGACACUGAGGCUCGAAAGCGUGGGGAGCAAAUAGG
rnacentral:rRNA from 1 species